GAAGCUGCACAUGCAGACUUGGGAUGUGCCUGCACGCAGCGGGUCCUCCUCAACAAGAGACGAGCUGAGGAGAACUACAGAAGUAGCUGGAAACUGCACCCAGGUUUCCAUUUACCGAGCUGUGCCCGCACACACCCAGCAGAGCUAAGCAGUGGCCGCGCUGUCAGGAGCCCGGCUGAGCCCGAACCCCGCACACCCGCCCGCUCCCCUCAGUCACUCACGGAUCUUCACUUUGCGGUGGUCGAGGCGUGCGAGCAGAGCUUCGAGGGCUCCCAGGCGGCGCUGGAGCCGGGCGUUGCGGUGGCACAGCGUGUCCGCCUCGCUCAGGAUCCCUCCGAAGAUGUCUCCGGCGCAGCGGGACAGGUCGGAGAGCUGCAUGAGCAGCGAUACCAGCGCGUACGAGCUGACCUGUUCCAGCGCCCCGAACUGCGGCACCGCGCCGCGCCGCCGCCCGCCGCCCCCUUCGGCCGCUCCGGCGUGGUCCCCCGGCGCCGGGCCGCCCCGCUCCGCGCCGUCGCCUUCCUCCAACCUGCACAGCUUCAGAGGCUCCAGGGUCCGCAGGGGGAACGGCAUCGCGGCCGGGGACGGCGGACUGGAGGGGAGAAGCUGGGCGUCCCCGGCGCGGAAAGUCUUCGCCCGCCAAGCGGCCGCGGCGACGAAAGUUCAGAAAGAGGAGGGAGAGGGAGAGGAGAGAGAGAGGGAGGGAGCACAACAACAACAAAUGAAUCAGAGCGGGCGGGCGCCGCGCUACGCGCGCCGGGGCCGGGACUGGGGCUCGGGGAGAGCAGCCGCCGCCGCCGCCCGCCGAGCGGAGGGGGGGCACCGCGCGGCACCCAUGUGCGGGAGCGGCACCGGAGGACGAGAGGGAGCGGAGCGGCCGCCGGCGCGGGGAGAGCCCGCUGCGCUGCCCUGCGGCCGGGAGACAGGAAAGAGCCCGGGUUUCUGUCCCCGGAGUGGAGAGGAGGAAGCGUGGGAGGGGGGCUGAGCGCUCUGGAUGAGGCCACAAAGGAGGGAAAGCGGCCAAGGGAGAAAGGGAGGAGAGGAAGAGAAGGAGGUGGGGAGAGAAAAGCCCGGAGCAGCCCCACCUGGGGAACCCCGCGCCGCUGCAGGCACUUUUGUGAGGCGCACCGAACUCCCAACCCGGAAAGCGAGAGCUGGAGCGAGAGGAGGAGAGAGGGGGGAAAGCCUCCGCGAACCUGGGAAGAGAAAAAGAGGCCGCCGCCUACCUGUGGCUCCCCGAACUGGAGUCUCUUCCAGAGCCUCACCCUUCCCGGCCAGCUCACGGCCGAGGUACGGGCCCAGCCCUGCCGUUGCCCCCGGCUCCAGGGUCUCCCCGCCUCUCCGCUUCCCUGCUCGCCACUGUUCGGGGGGGAAAUGGGCUGGAGAGCGGGGCUGGCGGCUGAGCGGGGCUGCGGAUGGUGGUUACUUGUAGUGAGGCUGACCCCAAGGUGGGAAAAGUAA
rnacentral:lncRNA from 1 species